AUUAAAAUAUAAUUUUAUAUAAUAAAAAAAAAACUAAUUUUUAUAAAUAUUUAAAAAUUAUUUUUAAAUAUUUAUAAUAUUAUAUAUAUAUAUAUAUUUAUUUAUAAAAUUAAAAAUUAUUGUUUUUUAAUAUAUAGAAUUAAAAAUUAAAGAAAUUUAAAUUUAGUAAUAAUAAAAUUAUUAAUAAAAAUUGUGCCAGCAAUUGCGGUUAAACAAUUAAUAAAAUAAAUAUUUUUAUAAAUAAUUAUUUUUAAUAUUUUAAUUAUAAAAAUUAUAUAUAAUUAAGUAAAAUUUUUAUUAUAAUUAAAUAAAUAUUUUAAUAAUUUAGUAAAAAUUAAAAUAAACUAGGAUUAGAUACCCUAUUAUAAAUUUUAAUUAAAAAUUAUAAAAGAUUAAUAAAUAUAAAAUAAAUAAUAAUGGGUGUAUUUUAAUUUAUAUAGAGGAAUUUGUAGUUUAAUUUGAUAAUCCACGAUUAAUUUUACUUUAUUUAUUUAAUUUAUAUAUCGUUGUUAUAAAAAAUUAAUUUAAUUUAAAAUUUUAAGUUAUUUAAAAAAAUAUUAUUUCAAAUCAUGAUAUAAUUUAUAAUAAAGAAUUAUAUGAAUUAUAAAAAUUUAUUUAUGGAAAUAUAAAAUAAUUUUAUAUCAAAAUAAGAUUUAUAAGUAAUUAAAAAAAUAAUUUUUUAAUGAUUUAAUUUUAAAAUAAGUACAUAUUGCCCGUCACUUUCAUUAUAUGGAAUAAGUCGUAACAAAGUAAAAAUAUUGGAAAAUAUUUUUA
rnacentral:rRNA from 1 species